GAUGAAGAACGCAGCGAACUGCGAUAAGUAAUGUGAAUUGCAGAAUUCAGUGAGUCAUCGAGUCUUUGAACGCACAUUGCGCCCCCUGGUAUUCCGGGGGGCAUGCCUGUCCGAGCGUCAUUGCUGCCCUCAAGCACGGCUUGUGUGUUGGGCCUCCGUCCUCCUCCCGGGGGACGGGCCCGAAAGGCAGCGGCGGCACCGCGUCCGGUCCUCGAGCGUAUGGGGCUUCGUCACCCGCUCUUGUAGGCCCGGCCGGCGCUUGCCGACACAUCAAUCUUUUUUCCAGGUUGACCUCGGAUCAGGUAGGGAUACCCGCUGAACUUAAGCAUAUCAAUAAGCGGAGGA
rnacentral:misc_RNA from 1 species